rnacentral:misc_RNA from 1 species
UCUCCGUUAUCCGGAGCAGUCCACGUAGAGUUCCCACCAUUACGUGCUGGCAACUAAGGACAAGGGUUGCGCUCGUUGCGGGACUUAACCCAACAUCUCACGACACGAGCUGACGACAGCCAUGCAGCACCUGUGUUCCGAUUCCCGAAGGCACUCCUGCAUCUCUGCUGGAUUCCGGACAUGUCAAGGCCAGGUAAGGUUCUUCGCGUUGCAUCGAAUUAAACCACAUACUCCACCGCUUGUGCGGGCCCCCGUCAAUUCCUUUGAGUUUCAGUCUUGCGACCGUACUCCCCAGGCGGCGAACUUAACGCGUUAGCUUCGACACUGAGCACCUAAGUGUGCCCAACAUCCAGUUCGCAUCGUUUAGGGCGUGGACUAC